GAUGAAGAACGUAGUGAAAUGCGAUAAGUAGUGUGAAUUGCAGAAUUCAGUGAAUCAUCGAAUCUUUGAACGCACAUUGCGCCCCUUGGUAUUCCAUGGGGCAUGCCUGUUCGAGCGUCAUUGCUGCCCUCAAGCACGGCUUGUGUGUUGGGCCCCCGCCCCCCGGUUCCCGGGGGGCGGGCCCGAAAGGCAGCGGCGGCACCGCGUCCGGUCCUCGAGCGUAUGGGGCUUCGUCACCCGCUCCGUAGGCCCGGCCGGCGCCCGCCGGCGACCCCCCCUCAAUCUUUCCAGGUUGACCUCGGAUCAGGUAGGGAUACCCGCUGAACUUAAGCAUAUCAAUAAGCGGAGGA
rnacentral:misc_RNA from 1 species